UGGUGAAGUCAGAGGCAAUAUUGCAGUGGGUUUAGAAGAAAAUGAAAGGAGAGGAAGUAGAGGGACCAAACAUAGACAGCUUUCUCAAGGAGUUUAGUCACAAAGAGAAGGAGAGAUGUAGGACAACAGUUAGCAGAGAUCAAGUAAGAGGUUUUUAAGAAUAGGUGGUGGGAUAUGGGUCGUGUUUGUGUAGGCAGCAGGGAAAGAGCAAGUAGACAGGGAGAAAUUAAAGAGACAGAGACACAGAGAAAAUGAGGAAGAAUUGUGGGGGGACUUUACUAGAAAAGAUAGGAUGGGAUGAGAUCAAAGGUGCAUGUAAAGAAGGACUGACCUUGGCAAGGAGAAGAGACACCUCUAAUUUGGAGACCAAAGUGAAAGAAAAGAUCAUUGAGAGAAGACAUACGAAUGAUGUGAGCUGAGGAGGAAGGGAGAAGGGUGAGCUCUCAACAACUGGACUCAAUUUUUUCAGUGAAUUAUGAGGAAGGGCCUCAGCUGAGGGAGUGAAAGGAGGGGGUUCUCUAGGAGGCUUAAAAAAGGAUGAAAACGUUUGCAACAGCUGUUGUGAAAUAGAUCAGGGAGGAACAGGAUGUCUGCCUUGCUGCAGUGAGGGUCCGGUUGAGAUUAGAUAACAUAAAUUUAUAGUUGACCCCCGAUUUCCUUCAGCUCCAUUCGGUCACAUGUGAAGAGAAGGCAAGGAGGCAGAUGGUAAGAGCAAUUCAGGGUUGGGGUUUGGUGGGACUUGAUCAGCGAUAGGACUUCAGAGAAGAAAUUAGUGUAGUUAGUUAGGUUGGGGUGGGGAGAGUAGGGUCAGUGCAGAGGUCAUGGCCUGGGAAAGAACAAAGGAGGAGAGGGAACCAUGAGAAACAGAACAAUGAGAAAAGGACUGAAGAAGGCUCUGGAAAGUGGAGGGAAAACUGAGGUGUGGCUGAAAAGACCGAUUCAGAAUGGACAGUUCUUCCCACGCUGAGUUCACUUGAAAUGUUCCCUUGAUUAGCAUCAGCAGCUGUUCUCCAAAAAGAGCCUGUCACUAUUUGAAACUCAUGGUCUCAGUUCAAAUAAAAGUAAUUCCAUUUAGUUGGGACAAGAGAAGACUUGUGGAGAGGACAUGAUUACCAUCUUCAAAUAUAUAAAGGGCUGUCACAUGGAAGAAGGAAUACACUUGUUCUGUACCGGUACAGAAGGCAGAACCAGGACCACUGGGGGAAGUUCUAGAGAAGCAGAUUUUGGCUCAACCUAAGGAGCAAUUUUCUAACAAUUAACCAUCUGAAAAUGGGAUGGGCUGUCUUGUGAAACAGAGUUCCCCAUCAACAGAAUCAAAGAAUUCCAGUAAGAAGGGACCCAAGUCUCUGAAGAAGAAUCUCCUCCAGAAAUGAUGAUCUUGAGCAACCCUCUAAGACAUAUCAGGACUCUGAACCCAAGAGCCUUUGGAAUAGCAAUCCUUUCAAUCCCACCACCAUCAGCCAUUAUCCUGAAAAGCACCCUCUAUAAAGCCACAGCCUGGCAGCUGCUCCUGCAGGUGCUCCUACAUACAGCCACAGCUACUGAAGGCCCAGAAAAGACAAUUCUAGCCACCAAAGUCCUUGGCACCAUCAAUGAGUCAACAGCAAAAAGUGACAUGCUCUUAUCAGUAGAAAUGACACUAAAGAAGAGGCAUUCCCAUCUGCUCUUCUCUUCUCCCCUGAGGAUCAUGGGACCUUAUUAAUUGAUUUGCAGCUUAAACCUUCUUUAUGUAUUACCUCCCCUAUUAGAAUGCGAGCCCCUUGAGAGCAAGGAUUUUCUUUCUUUUCUAUGUGUAUU